CUGACCACCAGCGGACGUGGUGGGCGCCUGCGGACUCCGGCUCCGAGGUACCAGAACGUGGAGACGUCGGAGAGAUAAGACCCGUGCGGAACUCUCCACCCCACCCAGUGCGUCCUCGCUCCAAAGUCCCCAGCGCGGUGCGGCCCCCGGCACAGCGCGGAUCCGGGAACCCACAAGGCAGGCUCGGCGUGUCCCGCCGGGGCGCCUCCCGUCGCUGCGCCGGGAGAGGCCUCCUGUAGCUGGGGCCCUUUCCAAGCACAACAGCCGCCCCGUCGCGGCCCCGCGCUGACCCACUUUACCUCCCGCCUCCCCAGCCCCAGGCCGAGAAUAAACGAGGCCUCCGCCAAGCAGAAGCUUUGAGGAGAGUAACUGCCUUUGUUACAUGCUCCUGCCACAAUAUUCUGCCUCAUCUCAGCUCCAAAAAUAACAGUGUCAUGGACUGAAACUUCAAAACUAUGAGUCUGAAACCUCUAAAACUGAGACACUAGAGGAUGUGCUUUGCCAAAACAAGCAAGCAAACCAAGAAAGAAAAGAAGACAGGGGAUGUAGUUCCUGGAGAGGACAAAAGAAGCCCAGAAGGGAGGCUUCCAGGGAAGGGAGAAUUACUAGAUAAUCUGAGGUAUUUUUCAUAGUGCCAGGAAGCUAAGACAUUUCUGCCAUGUUGUACAGGUCCUGGGUACAGUGUAGGAAGAUUCUACAAGAGGUUUUAUUGGG